AGAGAGAGACAUGCGCGCAUAUCAAUAAGCGGAGGAAAAGAAACUAACAUAGGAUUCCCUCAGUAACGGCGAGUGAAGCGGGAAGAGCUCAAAUUUGAAAUCUUCAAGGGUUCUACCUUUACGAAUUGUAGUUUAAAGAAGUGUUUUCUGUUGGAGUUUUGGUAAAAGUUCUUUGGAAUAGGACAUCAUAGAGGGUGAGAAUCCCGUAUUUGACCAUUAUUUCCAGCUUUGUGAUACACUUUCAAAGAGUCGGAUUGUUUGGGAAUGCAGUCCAAAAUGGGUGGUAAAUUUCAUCUAAAGCUAAAUACUGGCGAGAGACCGAUAGCGAACAAGUACCGUGAGGGAAAGAUGGAAAGAACUUUGAAAAGAGAGUUAAACAGUACGUGAAAUUGUCAAAAGGGAAGCGUUUGACACCAGUGUUGUUUUCUCGAAAAUCAAUUAAAAAUGGCUGGAUUUUGUGUUGUAUUGACUUUAUCAGCUUUCUGCACUUUUUUCCUGUCUUUUUUAAUGCACUUUUCGUUUAACAAGUCAACAUCAAUUUCUUUUGUUGUAAAAGGAGUCAUUGGAAGGUGGCUUUCUUUUCGGAGAAAGUGUUUAUAGCCUUUGCUCUCUGCAAUCGGAGAGAUUGAGGUCUGCAGCGUAGAUCCUUCGGGGUUAGAUACAUUUGUGCUAAGCUAUAGCCUUCCAUAGACAACUUGUUGACUAUGAUCAGUCAUGUAGCUUACUCGCUGAUGCUAUUUUACCUACGCUUAGGAUGUUGACAGCAGUAUAGACUGU
rnacentral:rRNA from 1 species